UAUUUGUUAGUGUAAAGAGCACAUAAAGUUUUGAUCUUUAGGGGGACGGUGUAAAUCCGUUACGAAUAA
rnacentral:tRNA from 1 species